CCUACGGGGGGCAGCAGUGAGGAAUAUUGGUCAAUGGACGAGAGUCUGAACCAGCCAAGUAGCGUGAAGGAUGACUGCCCUAUGGGUUGUAAACUUCUUUUAUAUGGGAAUAAAAUGUUCCACGUGUGGGAUUUUGUAUGUACCAUAUGAAUAAGGUUCGGCUAACUCCGUGCCAGCAGCCGCGGUAAUACGGAGGAUCCGAGCGUUAUCCGGAUUUAUUGGGUUUAAAGGGAGCGUAGGUGGAUUGUUAAGUCAGUUGUGAAAGUUUGCGGCUCAACCGUAAAAUUGCAGUUGAAACUGGCAGUCGUGAGUACAGUAGAGGUGGGCGGAAUUCGUGGUGUAGCGGUGAAAUGCUUAGAUAUCACGAAGAACUCCGAUUGCGAAGGCAGCUCACUGGACUGCAACUGACACUGAGGCUCGAAAGUGUGGGUAUCAAACAGGAUUAGAUACCCUAGUAGUC
rnacentral:rRNA from 1 species